rnacentral:lncRNA from 1 species
CAGACACGGGUCCACGAGAUGGCCUUGGGAGCUGGCGAAUUGAGAGCACUAAUUAUGGAUACUGAGGGAGUAGAUGUGAUGACCCAGAUAUUGCUAAUUUAUUCCCGACUGAUGGGAUGGUAGAUGAGGAUAGUAGGACCUGAUCUGAAGUCCCCCGUGUUGAUGUUGAUUCACCGGUGCCCUAAGCGUUGGGGAUAGUGCAAUGAUUUUUAGUUAGGGAUG